rnacentral:lncRNA from 1 species
UAAAGUCAGGUUGAUGACAAUAUUCAUUUUGUGAACGCUCCUUCACCUUGCGGGCUUCCACAGAAAUGAUUUGCCAAUACCUGAGCUUAGGAGCAGGCAAAUGUGCGGAAUUGUCAUUCUUCUGCCUGUCCAUAUAGGGGCUUGGUUAAGAUGUCCUCUUCGUCAUGCUAGGGCGAAAAAAUUGUGUAAUAAAUUGAGAUUAACAUGAAAUACAUGUCUUUAGAUAGUUGCUCCGUCCGAUCUGAUGCCUCGCUCGA